UCAUACUUUCUGAAGCUCCUCUGUGACUCCGUCCUGCGGGAAAUCUUUGCAGACACGGGUCAGCUCAUCCUCCAAGAGCAACCUCACGGCCUGGAAGCCUGUGCUGACCGGACCCAUCAGCUCCUCUAGGAUUGAAGCCAGUGUUUACCCUGGUUCUGAUGACGAAUGCUGUCGUUCAGGAUAGAGACGAAGCGGGCCCUCUUCUCUUCCUGCUGAAAGCAAAAGUACAAGUCUCGUCUGUAAGGAAGUCUCAAGUACACUGGAAGAGGACCAGGAACCACCACCAUAGGAACGGAAGAGUCUUCCUUAGAUCCUAAACACAAAAGAUCAGGUAUUGUCUGGCUUUGUUGAAACUACUUUGUAUUAGCACCUAUUUAUAUGAUUGAACUCUGUAGUCGCUUUGGAUAAAAGCGUCUGCUAAAUGACUAAAUGUAAACAACAGGCAAACAUCUAUUCAAAUAAGAAGCCAGAAUGCCCAUCCCUGUGGUCCAUGCCAUUGACUGUGCAAGACAUAAGAAAUCAUUUCA